rnacentral:SRP_RNA from 1 species
CCGUGCAUCCGGGGCAUUAGCGGCGCCCUGUACCUGAAAUCCGCUAUAGCAGGGGACAUGCCGAUCCGAGGGCUUUGCGAGGCAGUGCAGCCUUCUGUAAGUGAUGUUGACGUAUGGGUCUUACGCAACGGAAAUCCUUGAACCGUGUCAGGGCAGGAAUGCAGCAGCACUAAGGGGAACCUUUCGUGUGCCGUAAGGAAGCCUGGACUGAGUUAACUGCAGAAGAAGCGGUUGCUUCAAUUCGCACAGAGUGAGGCGCACGG